rnacentral:tRNA from 1 species
GCCCUCGUGGCGAAACUGGUAGACGCGCAGCGUUCAGGACGCUGUGAGAGUAAUCUCAUAGAGGUUCGAGUCCUCUCGAGGGCACCC